UGAUAUGUUGAUGUCAGAACGAAAUGAUAGUUAUUUAUUUGUUUAUACCUAUUUUAAUAUUUUAUAAUACGCAUUGUUUAUUAUGUUACAAUGGCACUUUUUCAAAUAAGAAUUAUGGUGAUGAUCCAUUAAAGUUUAGUGGACUUUUCAGCCCAUCUCAUAGGACUACAAGAAGAACUCGGUGUGCGUUGACAAUACUUUGUCCAGAAAAUGCUGUGUGUUUUAUACGCUCGUGGUCGGCUCGCACACAUUAUGCUUGGAUAGUACAGCGUGGUUGUUAUCAACCUGCUAAAGACGAUCCUCUUCCGAAAACUAUGAUCAUCCCCACCAGAGUCAGGACUUGUAAACAUGAAAGAUAAUGAAGACGGCUAUUUACAUUUCGAUUAGGUCAAAUCAUCAUCAUAUCAGCCAUUAUCUGUCCACUGCUGAACAUAAGCCUAGCCCAUAAAGGAGAUUUAGUCAUUAGUUGCCAUGCUUGGCAGACGGAUUGACAACCGCAGUUAGGUUAGGUGAUAUUUCGAAAGAGUGGUUGCUGCUCAUCUCUCUGCCAUUAAGUUCUUUUAGUCACCUUUUAUGACACCCACUAGAAAAGAAAGGGAAACCUAUUCUAAGCCAAAACCACACGACAAAGCUUGGUAUUGCACUUAAACUUUGUCGUGCGAAUUGGCUUUUUGCCCAAUAGACAGGAUCUUUG
rnacentral:misc_RNA from 1 species